CCUACGGGAGGCAGCAGUCGGGAAUUUUGCGCAAUGGGGGGAAACCCUGACGCAGCAAUACCGCGUGUGGGAUGAAGGCCUUCGGGUCGUAAACCACUUUUCUCGGGGACGAUAAUGACGGUACCCGAGGAAUAAGCCACGGCUAACUACGUGCCAGCAGCCGCGGUAAUACGUAGGUGGCAAGCGUUGUCCGGAUUUACUGGGCGUAAAGCGCGCGCAGGCGGUGAAUGAAGUCGAAAGUGAAAGCCCCGGGCUCAACUCGGGAAACAGGCUUUCGAAACCAGUUCACUUGAAGGUGGAAGAGGGAAGUGGAAUUCCGAGUGUAGCGGUGGAAUGCGCAGAUAUUCGGAGGAACACCAGAGGCGAAGGCGACUUCCUGGUCCAAUCUUGACGCUGAGGCGCGAAAGCUAGGGGAGCAAACAGGAUUAGAUAUCCUGGUAGUCCUAGCUGUAAACGAUGGAUACUAGGUGUUGGAGGUUUUAACCCCUCCGGUGCCGCAGCUAACGCAUUAAGUAUCCCGCCUGGGGAGUACGGCCGCAAGGCUAAAACUCAAAUGAAUUGACGG
rnacentral:rRNA from 1 species